GACGAACGCUGGCGGCGUGCCUAAUACAUGCAAGUCGAACGAAGCUGUUUUAACUGGUGCUUGCACCGACUUAAACAACUGAGUGGCGAACGGGUGAGUAACACGUGGGUAACCUGCCCCAAAACGGGGGAUAACAUUUGGAAACAGAUGCUAAUACCGCAUAAUCACAGAAACCACAUGGUUUCUGUGUCCAAGAUGGUUUCGGCUAUCACUUUGGGAUGGACCCGCGGCGUAUUAGCUAGUUGGUAAGGUAAUGGCUUACCAAGGCAAUGAUACGUAGCCGAACUGAGAGGUUGAUCGGCCACAUUGGGACUGAGACACGGCCCAAACUCCUACGGGGGGCAGCAGUAGGGAAUCUUCCACAAUGGACGAAAGUCUGAUGGAGCAACGCCGCGUGAGUGAAGAAGGUUUUCGGAUCGUAAAACUCUGUUGUCAGAGAAGAACGUGUGCGAGAGUAACUGUUCGUGCAGUGACGGUAUCUGGCCAGAAAGCCACGGCUAACUACGUGCCAGCAGCCGCGGUAA
rnacentral:rRNA from 1 species